AUUGAACGCUGGCGGCAGGCCUAACACAUGCAAGUCGAACGAGUGGCAGACGGGUGAGUAAUGUCUGGGAAACUGCCUGAUGGAGGGGGAUAACUACUGGAAACGGUAGCUAAUACCGCAUACCAUCGGAUUUGCCCAGAUGGGAUUAGCUAGUCGUGGGGGUAAAGGCUCACCUAGGCGACGAUCCCUAGCUGGUCUGAGAGGAUGACCAGCAAAACUGGAACGGAGACACGGUCCAGACUCCGACGGUAGGCAGCAGUGGGGAAUAUUGCACAAUGGGCGCAAGCCUGAUGCAGCCAGGCCGGGUGUAUGAAGAGGGCCUUCGGGUUGUAAAGUACUUUCAGCGGGGAGGCGUUACCCGCAGAAGAAGCACCGGCUAACUCCGUGCCAGCAGCCGCGGUAAUAC
rnacentral:rRNA from 1 species